rnacentral:snRNA from 1 species
AUUAUUUUUUCCAAAAAAAAUCUGUUCUUAUCAGUUUAAUAUCUGAUACGGCCCCAUCGGGGACUAGCAUAUUAAAUGGAUUUUUCGAACAGGGAGCGGAAAUGGGGCUUGCUCGUCCCCCACGCAUCGAUCCAUUGCAGUACCUCCGGAAUGGUGCAACACUU